rnacentral:rRNA from 1 species
GAUGAACGCUGGCGGCGUGCCUAAUACAUGCAAGUCGAGCGAACAGACGAGGAGCUUGCUCCUCCGACGUUAGCGGCGGACGGGUGAGUAACACGUGGAUAACCUACCUAUAAGACUGGGAUAACUUCGGGAAACCGGAGCUAAUACCGGAUAAUAUAUUGAACCGCAUGGUUCAAUAGUGAAAGACGGUUUUGCUGUCACUUAUAGAUGGAUCCGCGCCGCAUUAGCUAGUUGGUAAGGUAACGGCUUACCAAGGCAACGAUGCGUAGCCGACCUGAGAGGGUGAUCGGCCACACUGGAACUGAGACACGGUCCAGACUCCUACGGGAGGCAGCAGUAGGGAAUCUUCCGCAAUGGGCGAAAGCCUGACGGAGCAACGCCGCGUGAGUGAUGAAGGUCUUCGGAUCGUAAAACUCUGUUAUUAGGGAAGAACAAAUGUGUAAGUAACUAUGCACGUCUUGACGGUACCUAAUCAGAAAGCCACGGCUAACUACGU